CAGGAAGAUGGGUCAACCUAAAAGAAACAUAUACAUACACACAGACCCACACGCACUAUCCAGUCACCCUGAAGAAGGAGAGUUCACUGUGCAUAAGGUCAUCUCCUAAUGGACCAAGAAAAUUUCAGAGAUACAAGAUGAGAUUUCUAGGACAAAACUCUAAGUGACAAGUUUGUAGAACUGCUCAUGUCAUCUGAAGGACAAUUCUAAGGCAAAGUCCAAGGAGGGCCAGUUUUGUGGAGGAAGUCCAUAUGGAAAGCACAUGAUAGAGCCAACAUUCAUGGUGAAAAGUACA